rnacentral:rRNA from 1 species
GAUGAACGCUGGCGGCGUGCCUAAUACAUGCAAGUCGAGCGAACAGAUGAGGAGCUUGCUCCUCUGACGUUAGCGGCGGACGGGUGAGUAACACGUGGAUAACCUACCUAUAAGACUGGGAUAACUUCGGGAAACCGGAGCUAAUACCGGAUAAUAUAUUGAACCGCAUGGUUCAAUAGUGAAAGACGGUUUUGCUGUCACUUAUAGAUGGAUCCGCGCCGCAUUAGCUAGUUGGUAAGGUAGCGGCUUACCGAGGCAACGAUGCGUAGCCGACCUGAGAGGGUGAUCGGCCACACUGGAACUGAGACACGGUCCAGACUCCUACGGGAGGCAGCAGUAGGGAAUCUUCCGCAAUGGGCGAAAGCCUGACGGAGCAACGCCGCGUGAGUGAUGAAGGUCUUCGGAUCGUAAAACUCUGUUAUUAGGGAAGAACAAAUGUGUAAGUAACUAUGCACGUCUUGACGGUACCUAAUCAGAAAGCCACGGCUAACUACGUG